CGGCGGACGGGUGAGUAGCGCGUGGGUAACCUACCCUGUACACACGGAUAACAUACCGAAAGGUAUGCUAAUACGGGAUAAUAUAUUUGAGAGGCAUCUCUUAAAUAUCAAAGGUGAGCCAGUACAGGAUGGACCCGCGUCUGAUUAGCUAGUUGGUAAGGUAACGGCUUACCAAGGCGACGAUCAGUAGCCGACCUGAGAGGGUGAUUGGCCACAUUGGAACUGAGACACGGUCCAA
rnacentral:rRNA from 1 species